rnacentral:lncRNA from 1 species
UCGAAAACGGUGUCUGGUGAAGGAGGUAUGUAACAUUCUUUAAUACCCCGACAUUUACAUGUUUUUUACCUUUUUGAUUGUGUCUUGAUUUUGUGAUCUUGGAAAUGUUGAUAAAGACACCACAUAUGUUUGUGCGUCGUUAAUGUUUAUUUUUAGAGUACAAAGGGGGGGGGGGACCAUAUGUGUCGAAUAUAAUAACAGCACAUGUUUUGUAUUUGUUUAGGGUUCAAUGCUUUUUGCGGCGUUUUUUUUUCUUUUCAAUAAUUGUUUGUUUUUCCUAUUUUUGGACAUCACAGGUGAUCCUGGUUCAAACGACCGUAUGAACCGUGGUAAUUAAAUUCCUCUGAUAUAUUUUUAGUUGACUUAUGCUUUUUUUGUCAAAAAAAUUUGCUGAACAUUACGUGUUCCAAUUUGAAUAUUGACUGUAAAAUAUAAAGAUGAUACAAUAAAGGGUCCGGAUGAACAAGUUAGACGAACAGCAAGGAAAUGUAUGUUAUUUAGCAAUUGAAAUGUAUUUUACGUUAUUUAACAACCAAAUUGAGAUGCAUUCUAAAAGUCAGUUGUCACUCCUUUAUUAAUCCAGUUACGG